rnacentral:rRNA from 1 species
CCCCUACGGGACGCAGCAGUGAGGAAUAUUGGGCAAUGGGCGCGAGCCUGAACCAGCCAAGUCGCGUGAGGGAAGACGGUCCUAUGGAUUGUAAACCUCUUUUGUCGGGGAGCAAAAGACGCCACGUGUGGCGUUCCGAGAGUACCCGAAGAAAAAGCAUCGGCUAACUCCGUGCCAGCAGCCGCGGUAAUACGGAGGAUGCGAGCGUUAUCCGGAGUUAUUGGGUUUAAAGGGUGCGCAGGCGGAAGAUCAUGUCAGCGGUAAGAUUGAGAGGGUCAACCUCUUCGAGCCGUUGAAACUGGUGU